AAGUCGUAACAAGGUUUCCGUAGGUGAACCUGCGGAAGGAUCAUUAACACGUAUCCAAACGUUAAAACCCCCCCCGUGAACCUUCAUCCUGCUCUUGUAACCCGCGUAGUUCGCAAUCUCUGAUAAAUCAUAGCCCGGAAAGUUGUAGUGAUUCAGAGACCUCUGGCUACGUGCGAACAUUGGAACAGUUACAAUCGAGCGGUAGUUCUAUAGGCAAUGUUUCCCCAAGCAGUCAGUGUCGGAAAGUGUCAUUGAUUGUGCAAGGAUAGCGCUUCUACGAUUCACAUUAAACUGUGGGGUUAUUAGGGGGCAUGGGGACCCUUUGGCAAAGCUCCUGCCCGAGUGUACAUUGGGUAAAAAAACCGAACAACUGUUAACAAUGCAUAUCUUGGUUCUC
rnacentral:misc_RNA from 1 species